CUCCGUUUAGCAAGGAAAAGAAUUCCACUCAAUUCUCUCUCGCGGUACUUAAUCCCCUAGACUCGUUUUCCAAAUAACCCUCUUUCUCCAUCUUCGUCAGUCCCUUACUCAAGGAAAUACAUGGGCAAAACGAGAAAACGUGGCCGAAAGCCCAAGCUCGCAACUGAAGAAGAAACCGCGUCCCAAGAUUACAGCACCGCCUCCAUAAACGACGCCGUUUCGCUUCCAGCCACCACCGCCACUGCCGAAGCCGUUGAACCCAACGACCCGGAUUCUCAAGGGUGCCGCCGCGGCCGCUCCAAAAAGAUCAAGGUAGCAUCGCCGGAGCGCCGCAGUUCUCGGCUGGCUGAUUCGAACGGGGAUUGUGCGGCAGUGGCGGAGACGCCGCUGAUACCGAAGUGGGAGGGCACGGUGAAGGUGGUGCCAUCGAUGGACGCGGUAGUGAAGGUCUUCUGCGUCCAUACAGAGCCUAAUUUCUCGUUGCCGUGGCAGAGGAAGAGGCAGUAUAGCUCGAGCAGCAGUGGGUUCAUCGUGGGGGGACGGAGGGUUCUCACAAACGCGCAUUCCGUUGAGCAUCACACACAGGUCAAGCUCAAAAAACGCGGUUCUGAUACCAAAUACCUGGCGACCGUCCUCGCCAUCGGGACCGAAUGCGAUAUCGCAAUGUUGACGGUGAGUGAUGAUGAAUUUUGGGAGGGAGUUUCACCUGUGGAAUUUGGUGAUAUGCCUGCCUUGCAAGAUGCUGUAACUGUUGUUGGAUAUCCAAUUGGAGGUGACACAAUCUCUGUGACAAGUGGUGUUGUUUCACGUAUGGAAAUACUCUCUUAUGUUCAUGGUUCAACAGAACUUCUAGGACUGCAGAUAGAUGCUGCGAUAAAUUCCGGGAAUUCUGGUGGACCUGCUCUCAAUGAUAAAGGAAAAUGUGUUGGGAUUGCAUUCCAGUCUCUUAAACAUGAAGAUGUGGAGAAUAUAGGAUAUGUGAUACCCACCCCAGUUAUCCUACAUUUUAUCCAAGACUAUGAAAAGAAUGGGGCGUAUACAGGAUUUCCAAUCCUUGGAGUUGAGUGGCAGAAGAUGGAAAAUCCUGAUUUGAGAAUGUCAAUGGGUAUGGGACCGGACAAAAAAGGUGUGCGUAUUAGAAGAAUUGAACCAACAGCUCCAGAAUCCCAUGUUUUGAAGCCAUCUGAUAUAAUUCUCAGUUUUGAUGGGAUCAAUAUUGCCAAUGAUGGAACAGUUCCAUUCAGGCACGGGGAGCGCAUUGGUUUCAGUUACCUUGUCUCUCAGAAGUACACUGGGGAUAGAGCUCAAGUAAAGGUUCUUCGGAAUUCACAGAUACUUGAAUUUAACAUAAAACUUUCAACUCAUAAGCGACUUGUUCCAGCACACAUCAAAGGCAGGCCUCCUUCGUAUUACAUCAUUGCUGGAUUUGUUUUUACUGCUGUUUCUGUCCCCUAUCUUCGUUCUGAGUAUGGUAAAGAUUAUGAAUUUGAUGCACCGGUGAAGCUUCUGGACAAGCAUCUACAUUCUAUGGCGCAGUCUGUUGAUGAACAGCUUGUAGUUGUUUCUCAGGUUCUUGUGUCUGACAUCAAUAUUGGAUAUGAAGAGAUUGUAAACACUCAGGUUCUUGCUUUCAAUGGUAAACCUGUGAAGAAUCUGCAGAACUUGGCCACGAUGGUAGAGAGCUGUGAUGAUGAAUAUCUAAAGUUUGAUCUGGAAUACCAACAGUUGGUGUGAAAUAAACGCCGCCCUUGAGGUUGCAAUUGGGGCCACAACCUAGGCAUGGGAGUGACUACGAUUACGACUACGAUUAAUACGGCUAUCCAACAUAUGGUUACCAUACAUAUUAACCCUAUCAAGUUAAAAAACUAUUAUGAAUAAAAAGAUAGUAGUGUUAAAGACCAGUACUGCAAAGGCUGCAACCUUAGAUAUCCUCACCACACAUUGUAUACCUUCUGCAAUGUCAGAGGACCUGAAGUCAUAAAAAAUUUUGCUGCAUGCUAAAGUUACUCCUAAUUGCCUCUGCUUAUUCUUGUAAGUGGUGUUACACAUUCACUACCAGAUUGCCGUACUAUAUAUUCUGCACCGAUCAAUGAGAUAAAGGCUUCUUCUCACGCUGAAAGUUACAGCAGCAGAAGAUGGGAGAAAGAUCUGGCAAAAUACAAUAUACGCUUCGUUAAAUUUAUCUCAUUUCAAGUUGAGGUGUUCUGUACUGUACUUAAAUUGAUCAUUCCAUUUUUUAUUCCUUGUUGGUGCAAAAUUUAUGCUGUGCAAAAGAAUGAUUGGUGGAGGAAUAGGAAGUAUUAUUUCAUUAACGGAUCAUUUAUCAAAAAAUUGACUUUCUUAUGGUCUAAUUUUUCUUAGGACGGGAGAGACAUGUGAAAUUUCACGUUGAGGAUAUAGCUACUUUCAUGAAGUUUACGACUCCGUUUUACUUUUUGUCAAUUGUGUUCUAAAAUUCAAUAAAAUGUUUUCUAUUUUGUUGACA